rnacentral:rRNA from 1 species
AGUGAACGCUGGCGGUAGGCCUAACACAUGCAAGUCGAACGGCAGCACAGUAAGAGCUUGCUCUUACGGGUGGCGAGUGGCGGACGGGUGAGGAAUACAUCGGAAUCUACUUUUUCGUGGGGGAUAACGUAGGGAAACUUACGCUAAUACCGCAUACGACCUACGGGUGAAAGCAGGGGAUCUUCGGACCUUGCGCGAUUGAAUGAGCCGAUGUCGGAUUAGCUAGUUGGCGGGGUAAAGGCCCACCAAGGCGACGCUCCGUAGCUGGUCUGAGAGGAUGAUCAGCCACACUGGAACUGAGACACGGUCCAGACUCCUACGGGAGGCAGCAGUGGGGAAUAUUGGACAAUGGGCGCAAGCCUGAUCCAGCCAUACCGCGUGGGUGAAGAAAGCCUUCGGGUUGUAAAGCCCUUUUGUUGGGAAAGAAAAGCAGCAGGUUAAUACCCCGCUGUUCUGACGGUACCCAAAGAAUAAGCACCGGCUAACUUCGUG